GAAGAAGACGAAAGUGAGUGCAAAGCAAGUAGAAUCACAGGAAUGGUCUUUUCAGUAGGUUUUGAGGAUUUCUGAAGUCCGAGACAUAAAGGGAAUGUGCAGGAAGGAAAGGAGAUGGUCAUAAACGAAGUAAAGGAAAUUGAAAUAAGAGGGCUGUGUUUUUUAGUAAUGGCAAAUUAGGGUAGUUGAGACAGGUGGAAGACAAAAUCUUUUUUUUUUUCCUUUUUUUGGAGACGGAGUCUCAUUUUGUCAUCCAAGCUGGAGUGCAGAGGCGUGAUCUAGGCUCACUGCAACCUCUCGGAUUCAAGGGAUUUUCCUGUCUCAGCCUCUCAGAAGAGAACAUCUUCAUAGGAGAGGAGCUCUAGGAACUGAGAAUGCAGGAAAUUGGAAGAAAUAUACAUUAAUAGCCAAGAAUUUAGACAGGACUGGGGAGCCAGGAACAAACAUUUGAGAUGUUGGGCUUUUAAUGGAGUUGCCACGGAUGACAGCAUCAUGAGAAAUGAGGUUUAAAAAUGGAGGAUUGUUCGAGGAGGGAGGAGGGCUGAUCUGAAAGCCACAAGGAGGACAAAUGGAACACCUACCCCCACUACAGGCUGGAAGCUAUCUCCUCUGCAGAACUCUGUGCUAAUGAUAGAAUUUGCAUACUAAUGAUAAUUGCAACCAAGAAAGCUGUAUUCUCUUUCUACUCGAGAUAGAGAGUCUCACUAUGCUGGCCAGACUCGUCUCAAACUUCUGGGCUCAAGCAAUCCUCCCACCUGCCUCAAUCUCCCAAAAUGCUGGAAUUACAGGCAUAAGCCAUCACACCCAGCCAGUAAUUGACUCUGAAAGUAACACACAAAGAUUGGAAAGUGAUCUAAGUUCUGAAUUCAAAUAUCAACACAUGCAUUUUGCUAUUUCUUUGUUCUUUAAUUGCAGCAAGAACAAAUAACAUGAGAUCUAUCUUCUUAUCAAAUUUGUAAGUAUAUAGUAGAGUAAUGUUACCUACAGGCACAAUGUUGUACAGCAUUUGUUCUACAUAAUGUUCUACAGGUAUCUGUAGAACUUAUUCUUCUUACCUAACUGAAACUAUGCCUGUUAAAUGGCAAAUCCCAAUUUUCCUCUCACCCAGCCUCCAGCAACCACUAUCCUACUUUCUGUUUCUGCUAGUUUUACUAUAUUGAACUCCAUAUAUAAGUGGAAUCACAUAGUAUUUGUCCUUCUGCAACUAGCUUAUUUUACUUAGCAUAAUGUCCUCAAGGUUCAUUCACGCUUUCUUAUAUAGCAGGAUUUGUUUAUUAUGGUUGGAUAAUAUUCCAUUAUAUGUUUAUAAGACAUUGUCUUUACACAUUCAUCUCUCAAUGAAUAUUUUGGUCAUUUCCACAUUAUAGCUAUUGUGAAUAAUCAUACAAAGGAAUUGAACAGGGAGCCCAGAAGGAAACUCAUGCUUAUAUGGUCAACUGGUGUUUGGCAAGGGUCCAAGAAUACUCACUGGGAAAAAGAGAGUCUCUUUAAUUAAUGAUGUUGGGAAAACUGAAUAUCCAUAGCAAAAAAAUAAAAUUGAACACUCCUCUCACACAAUAUAUAAAAAUCAACUCCAAGUAAAAAAAACUUCAUGACAUUGUCUCAGCAAUUAUUUCAUGGGUAUGACACCAAAAGCACAAACAACAAAAGGAAAAAUAGACAAGUGUGAUUACAUAAAACUAAAAAGUUUUGCAAAGCAAAAGAAAUAACAGAGUGAAAAGUCAAGCUAUGAAAUGGGAGAAAACAAUUAUAAACUAUAUAUCUGAUAAAAGAUUAAUUUCCAAAAUAUAUAAGGAACAACUUAAUAGUAAAAAGGCAAGUAAGUCAGUUAGAAAGUGGACAAAGGACUUGAAUAGACAUUUCCCCCAAAAUGAUGUAAAAAUGACUAACAGGUAUGUGAAAAAGAUAUUCCCACUAACAGUUAAAAGAUAUCAUCACUCGGCUGGGUGCAGUGGCUCAUGCCUGUAAUCCUAGCACUUUGGGAGGCCGAGGCGGGUGGAUCACCAGGUCAGGAGAUCAAGACCAUCCUGGCUAACACGGUGAAACCCCGUCUCUACUAAAAAUACAAAAAAAUCAGCCGAGCGUGGUGGCGGGCACCUGUAGUCCCAGCUACUCGGGAGGCCGAGGCAGGAGGACGGUGUGAACCUGGGAGGCAGAGCUUGCAGUGAGGUGAGGUCACGCCACUGCACUCUAGCCUGGGUGACAGAGCAAGACUCUGUCUCAAAAAAAAAAAAAAAAGAUAUCAUCACUCAACAUCAUUAGUCAUCAGGAAAACACAAAUCAAAACCACAAUGAGAUAUUGUUUCAUACCUGUUAGAAUGGCUAUUAUAUAAUUUUUGAAAAACUGGUGUUGACAAGGAUGUGGAGAAAUUGGAAGACUUGUACACUGUUGGUGGGAAAAUCAAAAUGGUGCAGCCACUAUGAAAAAUAAUUUGGAAGUUCCUCAAAAAAUUAAACAUAGAACUAUCAUAUAAUCCAGCAAAUCCCACUUCUGUAUGUUUGUACAAUUGAAUUAAAAUCAAGAUCUUGAAGAGAUAUAUGCACUCCCAUGUUUAUUGCAGCAUUAAUCACAAUAGCCAAGACAUGGAUUUGAAAGAUAUUAAUACGUCAGAGAAAUUGUCCAAAAGGAGCUUUGCUCGGUAAAGAAACAAAGGGAGGAGGGGGGUGGGAUUUGUGUUUCUCAAGUUACUUCAAUUUUAACUAUUACAGUGUUUUGAAAUUUCUCCAGUGGAAAUAUAUAUUAAACACAAGUAUAACAGCCAACAAGUUUGACGGAGAGUUAACCAACUUUAACUCAAAGCAUCAUUUUCAAAUGCCUCCUCUACAGUGUUCCUUCUAGUGAAGUAGAUGUUUGGUUAUAUGAAGAGGACCUUUAGUGAUAAACUUUUACAAUAAACAUGAGUAAUCUAUGUAAUCAAAUAACUGUUGAAGAGUCAGUCUUCAAAUUUCAUAGUAUUACAAAAGUAAAUGUUGAUGUCCUAAAUUGUACUCAGGUUUUGUUCAAUAUGAGAGAAGUUAUAAUGUAAUGGAGAGAAUUAUUGGUCCUGUCUAGAUGAUCUGAGGAAACAAGAUGGAGACUGCCACACGAGUAGGAUUCUAAGGAAAUUAACUCAAUCUUGGCAGAGAGUUCUAGUUGUCUCUUCAGCAUUCAUGACCCCUCACUGUCCUCCUUAAGAAGAGAAAUCAAUUUUUAACUGAGCUCCUUAUCAGCUUGUGGUCAUAUGACUAUGUUCUGGCCAACAAGAUACAAAUGGACAUGUAUGAGACUUCUGGAAAACUGUUUAUAGAGAAUCUACUUCUAGAAGGAACACAUUUUUAAUUCUCUUAGCUUUCUUCUUCUACUUGAUCUGCAACUCAGAUAUGAGAGCUAAAGUUUCAGCAGCCAUCCUUGUCUAUGAGGAAAUUCUGAGGGUAAGAACUACGUGGUAGGAUGGAGGGGAAGAAUAAUUGGCACUAACCUACUAGCUCUGAACAACCUAUUUCCAGACUUACUGUGUAAUGUGACAUUUUUACCUAGAUGGCACUGUUUGUGCAAUUAUUUAAAUAUUUUAUUACUUUCCACUCUCUUUACUUAGAAAGUUCUAAAACAUGGACAAAUGAAAAUGUGAUGCAAAUGAUAAAACAAUACAACUGGCACAGAAGAAAUUCUUAGCUUUAAUUGUCUACCCUUUAGAUUUAUGUCAUCCAACUGUCUGCUUAAUUAUGAAAGAAAAUAAAUAAGUAUAAAUGGUAAACACAAAUAUAUAUGCAGUGCUUAAACAUAUUUUUGAAUAUGUUUAAAAUAGUUUAUAAGGAAUAGUUUAUCAUUUGACUUUUUAUGUGGAGUUUUUCGUAGAAAGUUUUAAGAAUUAAUUAUAAAUGAAAGCAGAAAAAUCC
rnacentral:lncRNA from 1 species